AUUGAACGCUGGCGGCAUGCCUUACACAUGCAAGUCGAACGGCAGCAUGGAAGAGCUUGCUCUUCUGAUGGCGAGUGGCGAACGGGUGAGUAAAGCAUCGGAACGUACCGUGUAGUGGGGGAUAACGUAGCGAAAGUUACGCUAAUACCGCAUACGCACUGAGGUGGAAAGCAGGGGAUCGCAAGACCUUGCGCUAUACGAGCGGCCGAUGUCAGAUUAGCUAGUUGGUAGCGUAAAGGCCUACCAAGGUGACGAUCUGUAGCGGGGCUGAGAGGAUGAGCCGAAACACUGGGACUUGGACACGGCCCAGACUCCUACGGGAGGCAGCAGUGGGGAAUUUUGGACAAUGGGGGAAACCCUGAUCCAGCCAUGCCGCGUGAGUGAAGAAGGCCUUCGGGUUGUAAAGCUCUUUCGGCUGGGAAGAAAUCGCACAGGCUAAUACUCUGUGUGGAUGACGGUACCAGCAUAAGAAGCACCGGCUAACUACGUGCCAGCCGCCGCGGUAA
rnacentral:rRNA from 1 species